UACGAAGGGGGCUAGCGUUGCUCGGAAUCACUGGGCGUAAAGCGCACGUAGGCGGCCUGCUAAGUCGAACGUGAAAUCCCUGGGCUCAACCCAGGAACUGCGUCCGAUACUGGUUGGCUUGAAUCCGGGAGAGGGAUGUGGAAUUCCAGGUGUAGCGGUGAAAUGCGUAGAUAUCUGGAGGAACACCGGUGGCGAAGGCGACAUCCUGGACCGGUAUUGACGCUGAGGCGCGAAAGCCAGGGGGAGCAAACGGG
rnacentral:rRNA from 1 species